rfam:Dechloromonas aromatica RCB, complete genome.
UCUGCCGAGGAGCGCUGCGACCCUUUAAUUCGGGGGCCAGGCUCGGCAAUGAUCAACGGCGCUCGCAAACC